CCAACUUGCAUGAUCAAGGCAGUCAUCCACACGAACUUUCUCAAACGUGUGAGUUUGUAUUUCCGACUAAUUGACAAUUUGGAAAAGCAAGGCUAUAUCAGCACCCGAAUUCGUAGUAAAAACGUGAAGAUGCAACGACUCCCAUUAAUGCUAUUCGGCAUUUUGGUACUCCUGGUAAUCAGCCAAGUGUCGGCGGCAGAAGUAGAAGACGAUGAAAUAGACCAUGCUUUCGAAGCAUUCGUGAAAAGGCGCACCAACAAGCGUGGCUUCUGGGUUGAACCACUUAAACCGGACUUCAGUCUCUUGAAGAA